rnacentral:tRNA from 1 species
GGUGGCGUAGCUCAGCUGGUUCAGAGCGGCGGAUUCAUAACCCGCAGGUCGACGGUUCAAGUCCGUCCGCCACCA